rnacentral:rRNA from 1 species
CUACGUGCCAGCAGCCGCGGUAAUACGGAGGGUGCGAGCGUUAAUCGGAAUAACUGGGCGUAAAGGGCACGCAGGCGGUGACUUAAGUGAGGUGUGAAAGCCCCGGGCUUAACCUGGGAAUUGCAUUUCAUACUGGGUCGCUAGAGUACUUUAGGGAGGGGUAGAAUUCCACGUGUAGCGGUGAAAUGCGUAGAGAUGUGGAGGAAUACCGAAGGCGAAGGCAGCCCCUUGGGAAUGUACUGACGCUCAUGUGCGAAAGCGUGGGGAGCAAACAGGAUUAGAUACCCUGGUAGUCCACGCUGUAAACGAUGUCGAUUUGGGGGUUGAGCUUUGAGCUUGGCGCCCGUAGCUAACGUGAUAAAUCGACCGCCUGGGGAGUACGGCCGCAAGGUUAAAACUCAAAGGAAUUGACGGGGACCCGCACAAGCGGUGGAUGAUGUGGAUUAAUUCGAUGCAACGCGAAGAACCUUACCUGGUCUUGACAU